ensembl:snRNA U2 U2 spliceosomal RNA
AUUGCUUCUCAGCCUUUUGGCUAAGAUCAAGUGUAAUAAUUAUUAGUUUAUGUUCUCUUUUCUACCCAAAGAAUAUAUGGUGUAUUUAGUUGUCAUUGUGUAUUUUGUAACUUUUUUUUUUUUCUUUUGGUACCAGGGAUCAAACUCGGGUCCUUCUGCCUGUGCAGCAGGCAGCAGAACCACUGAGC